GACGAACGCUGGCGGCGUGCUUAACACAUGCAAGUCGAACGCGCCUGUCCUCUGGGUUUCUGGGGGGUGGGUGAGUGGCGAACGGGUGAGUAACACGUGAGUAACCUGCCCCCUUCUUCGGGAUAACGGUCUGAAAGGGCUGCUAAUACCGGGUAUUCACUGGUCUCCGCAUGGGGUCUGGUGGAAAGGUUUUUUUCUGUUGGGGGAUGGGCUCGCGGCCUACCAGCUUGUUGGUGGGGUGAUGGCCCAGCAAGGCUUUGACGGGUAGCCGGCCUGAGAGGGUGCCCGGUAAGAUUGCGGCUGAGAUACGGCCCAGACUACUGCGGGAGGCAGUAGUGGGGAAUAUUGCACAAUGGGCGGAAGAAUGAUGCAGAGACGCCGCGUGAGGGAUGGAGGCCUUGGGGUUGGGAAUCUCUUUCGAACGUGGUUAAGCCGCGAAGUGGGUCGUGGUGAGGGUAGUGGGUAAAGAAGCGCCGGCUAACUACGUG
rnacentral:rRNA from 1 species